rnacentral:rRNA from 1 species
AACGAACGCUGGCGGCAUGCCUAACACAUGCAAGUCGAACGAGACCUUCGGGUCUAGUGGCGCACGGGUGCGUAACGCGUGGGAACCUGCCCUUAGGCUCGGAAUAACUCCCCGAAAGGGGUGCUAAUACCGGAUAAUGUCUUCGGACCAAAGAUUUAUCGCCUUUGGAUGGGCCCGCGUUGGAUUAGCUAGUUGGUAGGGUAAAAGCCUACCAAGGCGACGAUCCAUAGCUGGUCUGAGAGGAUGAUCAGCCACACUGGGACUGAGACACGGCCCAGACUCCUACGGGAGGCAGCAGGGGGGAAUAUUGGACAAUGGGCGAAAGCCUGAUCCAGCAAUGCCGCGUGAGUGAUGAAGGCCUUAGGGUUGUAAAGCUCUUUUACCCGGGAUGAUAAUGACAGUACCGGGAGAAUAAGCUCCGGCUAACUCCGUG